CCUACGGGAGGCAGCAGUGAGGAAUAUUGGUCAAUGGACGAGAGUCUGAACCAGCCAAGUAGCGUGAAGGAUGACUGCCCUAUGGGUUGUAAACUUCUUUUAUAUGGGAAUAAAAUGUUCCACGUGUGGGAUUUUGUAUGUACCAUAUGAAUAAGGAUCGGCUAACUCCGUGCCAGCCGCCGCGGUAAUACGGAGGAUCCGAGCGUUAUCCGGAUUUAUUGGGUUUAAAGGGAGCGUAGGUGGAUUGUUAAGUCAGUUGUGAAAGUUUGCGGCUCAACCGUAAAAUUGCAGUUGAAACUGGCAGUCUUGAGUACAGUAGAGGUGGGCGGAAUGCGUGGUGUAGCGGUGAAAUGCUUAGAUAUCACGAAGAACUCCGAUUGCGAAGGCAGCUCACUGGACUGCAACUGACACUGAGGCUCGAAAGUGUGGGUAUCAAACAGGAUUAGAUACCCUUGUAGUC
rnacentral:rRNA from 1 species